GACAAAUGCCCUGCUUCCAGGAAAAGCCUCUAAGCAUCAGGUAACAUCAAAUCGUACCCCAAACCGACACAGGUGGUCAGGUAGAGAAUACCAAGGCGCUUGAGAGAACUCGGGUGAAGGAACUAGGCAAAAUGGUGCCGUAACUUCGGGAGAAGGCACGCUGAUAUGUAGGUGAAGCGACUUGCUCGUGGAGCUGAAAUCAGUCGAAGAUACCAGCUGGCUGCAACUGUUUAUUAAAAACACAGCACUGUGCAAACACGAAAGUGGACGUAUACGGUGUGACGCCUGCCCGGUGCCGGAAGGUUAAUUGAUGGGGUUAGCGGUAACGCGAAGCUCUUGAUCGAAGCCCCGGUAAACGGCGGCCGUAACUAUAACGGUCCUAAGGUAGCGAAAUUCCUUGUCGGGUAAGUUCCGACCUGCACGAAUGGCGUAAUGAUGGCCAGGCUGUCUCCACCCGAGACUCAGUGAAAUUGAACUCGCUGUGAAGAUGCAGUGUACCCGCGGCAAGACGGAAAGACCCCGUGAACCUUUACUAUAGCUUGACACUGAACAUUGAGCCUUGAUGUGUAGGAUAGGUGGGAGGCUUUGAAGUGUGGACGCCAGUCUGCAUGGAGCCGACCUUGAAAUACCACCCUUUAAUGUUUGAUGUUCUAACGUUGGCCCGUAAUCCGGGUUGCGGACAGUGUCUGGUGGGUAGUUUGACUGGGGCGGUCUCCUCCUAAAGAGUAACGGAGGAGCACGAAGGUUGGCUAAUCCUGGUCGGACAUCAGGAGGUUAGUGCAAUGGCAUAAGCCAGCUUGACUGCGAGCGUGACGGCGCGAGCAGGUGCGAAAGCAGGUCAUAGUGAUCCGGUGGUUCUGAAUGGAAGGGCCAUCGCUCAACGGAUAAAAGGUACUCCGGGGAUAACAGGCUGAUACCGCCCAAGAGUUCAUAUCGACGGCGGUGUUUGGCACCUCGAUGUCGGCUCAUCACAUCCUGGGGCUGAAGUAGGUCCCAAGGGUAUGGCUGUUCGCCAUUUAAAGUGGUACGCGAGCUGGGUUUAGAACGUCGUGAGACAGUUCGGUCCCUAUCUGCCGUGGGCGCUGGAGAACUGAGGGGGGCUGCUCCUAGUACGAGAGGACCGGAGUGGACGCAUCACUGGUGUUCGGGUUGUCAUGCCAAUGGCACUGCCCGGUAGCUAAAUGCGGAAGAGAUAAGUGCUGAAAGCAUCUAAGCACGAAACUUGCCCCGAGAUGAGUUCUCCCUGACUCCUUGAGAGUCCUGAAGGAACGUUGAAGACGACGACGUUGAUAGGCCGGGUGUGUAAGCGCAGCGAUGCGUUGAGCUAACCGGUACUAAUGAACCGUGAGGCUUAACCUU
rnacentral:rRNA from 1 species